GGGAAACUCACCAGGUCCAGACUGGGUAAGGAUGUACAGAUUGACAGCUCUUUACAGAUUCUCAGGGUGGUGGUGCAUGGCCGUUCUUAGUUGGUGGAGUGAUUUGUCUGGUUAAUUCCGUUAACGAACGAGACCUUAUCCUGCUAAAUAGUGACUUGUAUCUCCGGAUAUAAGAACACUUCUUAGAGGGACUUUGUGAAUUUAAGCGCAAGGAAGUUUGAGGCAAUAA
rnacentral:rRNA from 1 species